AACGGAGGGAGCGAGCGUUAUUCGUAGUGAUUGGGCGUAAAGUGUACGUAGACUGUUAAGGAAAGGUCAUAAUUAAAAUCCAUGGUAUCACUGUGGUAUUUUGUGUUAACUCCCUAGAACUAGAGUAUAAUGGAGGUAAGCAGUAUUUUAAGGGUAGCUGUAAUAGGCGUAGAUCCUUAAGAGACUACAAAUGCGGAGGCAGCUAACCAUGUUAAACUGACGUUGAGGUACGAAGGCAUGGGGAUCAAAGUGG
rnacentral:rRNA from 1 species